rnacentral:tRNA from 1 species
GCCUUCGUGGUGUAGUGGUCAACACGCUGGGCGCUUAUUAAAAAGGUCCGUGGUUCGAAUUCCGGCGAGGGCA